rnacentral:rRNA from 1 species
GUGGAUUAGAUACCCUGGUAGUCCUAGCCCUAAACGAUCAGGACUUGGGGUGCCACCCGUUCGGGUGUCGUCCCGGAGCUAACGCGUUAAGUCCUGCACCUGGGGAGUACGGUCGCAAGACUGAAACUCAAAGGAAUUGACGGGGGCCCGCACAAGCGGUGGAACAUGUGGUUCAAUUCGACGCUACGCGAGGAACCUUACCUGGGCUCGAAAUGCUAGUGACCAGCUGUAGAAAUAUGGCCUUCCCGCAAGGGACACUAGUAUAGGCGCUGCACGGCUGUCGUCAACU